rnacentral:lncRNA from 1 species
UUUUUUUCAUUCUCAUUUUUUGAUUUUCAGGAUUCUUAAAAUAUUUCAGGUAUUGGCCGGGUGUGAUGGCUCACGCCUGUAAUCCCAGCACUUUGGGAAGCUGAGGUGGACGGAUAAUCUGAGGUCAGGAGUUCAAGACCAGCCUGGCCAACAUGGUGAAACCCCGUUUGUACUAAAAAUACAAAAAUUAGCCGGGCGUAGUGACGGGCGCCCGUAAUUCCAGCUACUCGGAAGGCUGAAGCAUGAGAAUCACUUGAAUCCGGGAGGGGGAGGUUGUAGUGAGCCGAAAUCGCGCCAUUGGGCUCCAGCCUGGGGAACAGAGUGAGACUCCGUCUGAAAACAUAAACAAAAACAAAACAAAGCAAAAAUAAGCCUAUUCCAAAACAAAAUAAUGAAAGUAUUUAUUCGGAUGUUUUUAUUUUUUUUUUUCGGAUGUUUUAAAAUAAAUUUUUUAAUCUUAUGUAUUCGUGUCCAAAGGUGAAGAACGUAAUGUACUGAAGAAGGUGAUGGGACUUAAGUCACUUCUGUAGGACGUGAGUCCAUUUACCUAACAUUUUUCUUUUACCUGGGUCAGGUUCCACCCAGGCUCGCCUCCUCCUGGCCCUGAGAAUGCACUGACUCCAUCCUCCGCAUCAAGUCAGGUGCCCCAGCAUUUGGCCGAUCUGCUCAUGCGUACUCCUAGGUCAGGAGGCCACUCCUAGAAGUCUCCGGGGCUCGGGCGGUGGGCGGAGCGCGCGGUCCUCGUGGUCACUGCUGUAUUUCUUGUUCGUUUUAGGACUCCACUAAAACCACAGGCACUCCACUCCUCAGGGGUGCCUGCGGUCCUGACUGUUCCGUCUUGCACUACAGAUUCCACGGGCGACAGAGAAAUCUCGGACAUCUGGCUCCGUUUCCCUGACCUCUGCGCUGCGGGUGACCUGGUCCCAUCUGAGGAAGAAGGCGGCGCGGGUCGCUGCCGGAGCCUCUGCAGCCUCAGCUCGCCUCCCGCAGCCCGCGUGGGACCCUAUGUGGCGGUCCAGAUUUUGAAGAAAUCUCUCUACAGAUUGAACCGAGCUGCGCCUGGAUCCCCAGCAGCGAGGAGACCUGAAGACCAAAGGAAACACAGCAAGUAGGCCCUUCAAACCACUCAUCUGUGUUCUCUUCCAAUUUAUUCUGUUUUAUUUUGUUUCCCUCAUUUUAAGGGGUUAAAAUCAUCUUGUUCAAACCUCAGGAUAUAAAAUGACCCAUCGGUAGACCUCAGGCUCCAGCCAUACCCCAAGAAUUGUCUGGUUUGUUUUAAGUUACUGCCAGGUUUCAAUUGUAGAUAUCCCCGGAAGGAAUAUUCCAGAUUCCCUGAGUAGCUUCCAGGUUAAAGUCCUAUAGGCUUCCUCUGUUUUGAGGAGGAGUUCCUGUCAGAGAAAACAUGAUUUUGG